CCCCAUAGCUCAACUGGAUAGAGCGGCUGGCUACGAACCAGUAGGUUGCAGGUUCGAGUCCUGCUGGGGGUA
rnacentral:tRNA from 1 species